GAUCAUGGCUCAGGAUGAACGCUAGCUACAGGCUUAACACAUGCAAGUCGAGGGGCAGCAUUUCAGUUUGCUUGCAAACUGGAGAUGGCGACCGGCGCACGGGUGAGUAACACGUAUCCAACCUGCCGAUAACUCGGGGAUAGCCUUUCGAAAGAAAGAUUAAUACCCGAUGGUAUAAUUAGACCGCAUGGUCUAAUUAUUAAAGAAUUUCGGUUAUCGAUGGGGAUGCGUUCCAUUAGGCAG
rnacentral:rRNA from 1 species